rnacentral:lncRNA from 1 species
ACAAAUUGAGGUUUCAAAAGUAGAUUGUUCCAUAUAGACCAAAACCUCAAUGAAAAUCAUGAUAUAGAGCAAAGUUCUGAAUCAAAUCCAUUUGUCCAAAUGAGCACAAGAAUAAAAAAACCACCUGAGUAUUUAAAGGAUUAUCAUUGUAAGUUAAAUAUCCUUUGAAUUUUGUUUUGUCUUAUAGAAAUUUAUCACCUUCUUACAAAUCUUUUGUUAUGU